CGCUCGCUGCCCCAGCUGCUCCCUCUACAUCACCGUCGUCUACAACGCCGAGGACUUCGCCGGCGGCACGGGGAAGCAGGACCUGGAGCCCUCGAAGCAGCAGCCCGUCGCCGUCGCUUGAAGUUUCAUAAAAUGCACUGCAGACCGUGAGUCAGAUCCUCUGGAGAGAGCACAAGCCUGAGACUCCUUUGAUGUAGUAUGAUUGGGAUCGUCGCUUGAUGUCCAUUGAUUUUCAUCGACUCUGGACACUUGAUUAAAUCAUUACUUUAACAAAGUUUGACACGGCUUGGAGAUCGACGUUCCUUUACAUUAUUUUAAGCAGAGUAGGGGUGAUCGGUU